rnacentral:lncRNA from 1 species
UUAUUGAUAUGAGUCAUACGCGGGUAAUGCUAAAAAAAACCAAUUAUGUCUUCUAAAGUAAUUUACAUACAACGAGUACCCUCACAGUGGUUAUCCACUCUAGGAUGAUUAGUACAUUCAUAAGUCUCACAACACAAGGAACCUAAGCCACUUUGAUAUAGUGCAUUGACGCAUAUCGCUAUGGCUAUUAAACAAUUCCAGCACCUGAUUCUCGCAGCUAAAAAAGAGGAUGGCAAUAAUAUCGUUUAUAUCAAAAAAGAGGCCACAUUAAAAUGCUAAAACAUGGACAAGAGUUCCCAUCCCAUACUAGGUUACAUUUUCUAAAUAAGGACCAGCAUCCUAGGGGGUAUACAUCAUGCACAUCAUUCAUUCAUGCAUUCAUCCAUGCAUUCUUUAUCUCAUUUAUUUAACACCUUUACGAUUGUCACGCCUUUUGCAGAUUACUUUGUCGGAGAGAAACUGGUAUAGUAAGACAUAGAGACUGAUUCUCAAGUUGUGGGUUCUGUCAGCACUCUGUCAGUGAAAAAAGGAGUAAGGGUAGAAUUACAAGUUAUGGAUGUAAGCUUCCUAGCAGAUCUGGUCCCCAAGAUCCCUCAAGAGGUUCAAGACCAGCUAGCAAAAGAAUAUGGAAGGUUGUCUGACUUGGUCCUCAUCACGGUUGAUAUAGAGACAUUAAAGGGCAUGAAAGACAUGAUCCAGUACUAGAACACUGCUCUACACAUCUUCGAAUUCCCAAAUAUUGAUGCAUCCUCGACUGUGGAGGAGUAUGAGGUCCUACUUGAUAUCGACUCUUCCAUCACAGAUAUCGAGCUAUCAAACAGGCUAAAGCUGUAUCAGUAUAGCGGUACUCAGAAUGUUACAGAAGAGUAUAUCGAGGGGCUGAUCGGGAUGCAUCCAGGCCCGAACCAGAUUAUCAAACAAGGAGAAGUAUAUGGGCUAAAGACCACUUUCUUGAAAAAAAACAUCUUGCCGAAAUGGUGGAACCAGGAAAUUGGGAGCUAUUCAAACCCGCUUUUGCUCUAGCAGUAUAUGGUAUGGUCCUAUUCCCUUUCGUUUAUGAUAUGGUAGACCAAGCGGCGAUCGAUGUCUUCGCCAAAGUCAAGAGGUUCAGAGUUAACCCCGUUCCAGCAAUAGUUGCAGAAACUCUCUUAUAUUUCCAAAUGUGUCAUGAAAAAGGCUACCACAAGGUCCGGUGUUGUGUAAAAUUGCUCUAUGUGUGGAUGAUUACUCGGUUUGCGCAUCACCAAUAUCCAGAUUGGAGCAAGUACCCCCUGCGCCGGUUCAGAAAUAUUGCAAUUAAACCUAUGCAACUGGCGGAUUGGAAGAAACUGUUCAAAGAGGUAACCCCUAGGAAUUUUGGAACAAAGUGUUGCUUAUAUGACAAACAUCAGGCAGUGAUGUACUCAUGUGGAGACUUUCCGAACAUGAUGUUGAUGGGCCCCCGAGGAUGCAUCUCUUUCACCCCAGCCUUAGUACUGGGACAACUGAAAUGGGGGAUGAAUCUAGUACCUCAAGAAAAGUUGCAGGGGAUCACAGUCUGGUAUAGGGAGGAGGGAACUACCCGAGAAGUUCUCAUAUAUGUGACGAAUGCUCUGAGGAGUAUCCGUCUAUGUGGGAAGAAUGAGCUUGGAGAACACCAAGCCUAUUACACUGAAGAGUACAAAUGCUGGAGGAAUGAAAGGAUUAAAUAUGUUAUGUUGCCACCAUCCGAGUCAUCAAAAGAACCGAUCGGGCCAUCCCAGAACGAACUACUACUCGUUAGUCAGAACAAACUUCUGGAAUCCAAGUUGGAAGAGGCUCGAGAUGAAGUAGAGAAAUAUAAACUGAUGGUGGAGAAGCUUAACAAAACCAUCGCUGCACAGAAGAGGGAGGAAGUCAGCUUGAAGCGAGACUAAGCCAGCAUGUGCUCUUCAUCCGACAAAUUCCGCCUGAUCCGAGAUGGCAAAGAAAAAGACAAAAAAAUAACAGAAUUGACCAGGUUGGAGAAAGAAAAAGAUGAACAGAUAGCCGACAUGGUUGAUCAACUGAAGGCCCGAGCGCGAGCCCUACAUACUGCUCAAAGAGAUGUUCACACGCUGAAAGCAAAAAUAGAGAAUAUGCAGGCCAACCGAAGAGAUGGGAGCCAAACGGGGGCUAUCUUAAAAGAGUAUCAGGAAGCCUUGAUGCGAGCCAGGGAAAGACAGGAUCAACUGAAUGUUGCGUUGGAUGCUCGUUUCCAAGCAUUGGCUGAGGCAAAUCGCGAUAAAACCCAUCUUUCUGAACGAAUGAAGGACCUUGAGGAAGCCUACAAUGAGUUAAAUGCCAAACAUCAUGAGUGGUCACACAACUGGGAGAAUAUGCUCCAGGAGUGUAAAUGGGACAAGGAGAAAUGGGAAGGAAGAUGCAGGCAAAUCAUCGAGGGUCUUGGGGACUUUGCUGAUGGUUGGUUGAGAAACUUUGAUGAUGCCCGUCAGGAGGUCGAAAUGUACCCUGAUACAAGCCUACGCCCCGCCAUGAGAACCUUCUAUGAAGCAUGUGAUAAGUUGGCUUGGAAACUCAGAAGGUGGAGAACUGCUGCAUCUGGAGAAUAUUGAGCAUUUUAUGUUUUUCUUCUCCUUUGUAAAAAUAAAAAGAAAGAGAGAAUGAAUAAAGGAAAAUUGUAGUCCUACUUAUGAAUAUGAAUAAAAAAUUUCUCCUUUUCUCAGAGUUUAUCCGAGUUGUUCUCUAUACAAGUAUCAUAAGGGUUCAUCAUCUUAUCUAGUCUUCAAGUAAAAAGUCCUGACAGAGUAAAAACAUAUUGUAAUUAGAUACAAUCUUGGUCUGAAACCUAGAGUUUCUUCUAACGAUUGGUAUCAAAUGUAAACGAUCUUGCAGACUACGCUCCCAAGAUUACCAAAUACAUGACAAGAUGUUUAAUGAUAGUGAUCCACAAUGAGAGAAUAAGCCUAGAUGCAAGCAAGGUCUGAAGCCUAGAGCUUCCUCUGAGUAUUGUCAUCAACGCAAGAGAAACUAUUGGGGUGCGCCUCGUAGUCAACAAAUGCGGGUCAAGACGUCUUACUAUACUAAGCCUCUCGAAGACAAAGAAAUCUUUUUGCUUUCAUUUUUAUCAUUUAUUUUUCAAAUUUUUAUUUUUCCAAUAACUCAGGUUCUGUAAUCAUUGCACACCAACAUCCUUACAAUACCCGAUCAAAAACAAAGACAAUGGCCGACCAGGAAGCUACUAUUGGAGGGAAUCCCGAGGUGAUUGAGCUAAAAGAGCAAAUAGCACUGAUGAUGAGAAUGAUGGUAGCCAUGCAGCAAGAAAUGGCAUCUGGGAAUUCUUCUGCAGAAGAUAAGCGGGCCCAAUCCGCACGUAAUGCCAAUGAAGGAGGGCACAACCAAGAGUCUGCCUCUAAGCACCAGGGUGCAUCACAAGGACAUACCUCGUCAAACAAAGAGAACUCACAACACACCAACCAACAUGACUCGGAUGACGAUCCUAACUACCACGCCCCCAAGAAUGAUAGAAGCACUGCAGGACGUCAAACUAGUAAAGACACUCAGCGCGAUGAUAAAGGGAAGGGGAAGGAAGAUGAAAUGUGGGACAUCAUUAAUGAAAGGCUUAAGGAUGUGGAGGGGGCUAACUGCCCCGAUUUAAAGAACGCUUUUGAAUUGUGUCUGGUCCCAGAUGUCGUUCUUCCUCCUAAAUUCAAGGUUCCCGAAUUCGAAAAGUAUGAUGGGAGUACAUGCCCGAAGAGCCAUCUUCAUAUGUACGCCCGGAAAAUGUCAGCGUACCAUAGUGAUGAUAAGCUGCUCAUUCAUUGCUUUCAAGACAGCCUUGUGGGGAUCGCCACUUCGUGGUACAUCCGCCUCGAAAGCAAGCACAUUAAGACAUUCCUGGAUCUUUCUAAUGCCUUCAUAAGGCAGUACAAAUUCAAUGAGGACUCUACGCCGGACCACAACAAGCUUCAAAGCAUGUCGAAACCGGCAAGUGAAUCAUUCAGGGAAUAUGCACAGAGAUGGAGAGGAGUGGCCUCACAAGUCUUACCCCGUCUGGAGGAAGAAGAGCAGAUCACUAUCUUCAUCAACACUCUCCCUAACCCUUUCUUCGACAAGAUGAUUGGGAAUAAUACAUGUGAUUUCAAUUCAUUGAUUAGAGUCGGAGACAGAAUUGAGCAAAACAUGAAAAAUGGAAAGAUUGUCGCCGAACAAACCGGAGAGCCCAAAAGGCCCAACUACAUGAAGAAAAAAGAAACUGAAGCCCACUACAUAGCCGGAGAACCCCAAAAGACAUCGAACAAGAUAAACAACAAUCCUCGUUCAUAUACACACCGCCCUCAACACAACCAGACACCAUACCAACCGAGCCCGCAAAACACAUACCAGAUCCCAUACCAACCAAUAGCCUACAUUAACCACAACCGCCCACCACUUCAACAAAACACAACCUUUCAAUACAACCAACCACAACCAAACCUCUAUCAACCCCGACCACCUAGGCCCAACUAUCAACCAAAUAACCAAGCCCAAAACCAUAAUCCACCCGUGCAAUACCAAACUCAGGAAAGAAGGACUUUCGACCCUAUCCCUAUGACCUAUGCCGAACUAUUCGCCACCUUACAAACAGAACGUAUCCUAGCACCCAUUCUAGGAAGAGUCCCAAAUACUAUGGCCGCAUGGUACAACCCUAAUGUCAAUUGUGCUUACCAUUCGGGAGUAGUGGGGCAUUCAAUCGAAACUGGUAAGGCAUUAAAACAUAGAGUGCAGGAUCUUAUCGAUUCCGGAUGGUUGAAUUUCAAAGACGAUGUUCCCACUAUCACAAACAACCCUUUGCCCAAUCAUGGGAACCAGGGAGUGAAUGUCUUAGAGCGGGACGAGGCAGACACUAUUAUUGACAGGGUGGAAGACAUAAAGACACCCCUAAAGAUCAUAUUUUUGGAGAUGUGCAAAAUAGGUCUGGUGAAGUGUACGCAAGAUGGUCAAUAUGAAGGUGACGUUUGCAUGCUACAUGGGACUACAGACCAUAACAUAGAAGAAUGUUCCAAGUUCAGAUCAUUGAUACAAGAAUUAUUGGACUCCUAGUUGUUGAGGAUCGAAAGGCAAAAUAAAUGUUCUGACAUAUGUGUCAUUGAAAAAGACGAGGAAAGUCCGAGUCCGGUCAUUAUAAGGAAGUUUGUACCAGUAUUCAACAUACCUACUAGCACACCAUCAUAUNNNNNNNNNNNNNNNNNNNNNNNNNNNNNNNNNNNNNNNNNNNNNNNNNNNNNNNNNNNNNNNNNNNNNNNNNNNNNNNNNNNNNNNNNNNNNNNNNNNNCGGAAAAAUGCCAGUUCCAACAAAUGAAGUUGUCCACUUGGUCGGGGUAGGAAAUAUGACAAGGAGCGGAAGGAUUUAUAGCCCUGUUGAGAUAGCCAGUAAAGUCAUCAAUGCGUCUAAAGGCAAAGAAAACGUUGAUAAGCCAGUAGAUACCAGUUCUGGAGCGGCCCGGGUUGAGAUCCCUCCAAUUGAUGUUGAAAGAGAAGUCACAGAUGAUGAAGCUUGUGAGUUCUUGCGAUUCAUCGGGCAAAGCGAGUACCAAAUAGUUGACCAGUUGAGUCGCACUCCAGCCAGGGUAUCGCUGUUGUCUUUACUAAUGAAUUCAGAAGCUCACAGAAAGGUCCUACUGAAAGUGCUAAACCAGGUCCAUGUCGACCAUGAUAUAAGUACUAGCAAAUUAGAUGGUAUCGUCAAUAAUAUCAUGUCGAUAACUUUAUCUCCUUCAGCAAUGAGGAAAUACCGAAUGAAGGAACAGGGCACACCCGUCCUCUCCACAUCUCCAUCAUGUACACAGAUUUUGUAAUAGGAAGGGUGUUGAUAGACAAUGGUGCGUCGCUCAAUGUGAUAACCAAGAGGACAUUGUCUAAAUUACGAGUGGAUGACUCAGCCAUAAAACCCAGUUCAACAGUUGUUCGAGCCUUCGAUGGAGCCCGAAGGGAUGUGCUGGGAGAAAUCGAGCUACCCGUGAAGAUUGGGCCGUGUACUUUCCAGAUCCUAUUUCAGGUCAUGGAUAUCAAUCCGUCGUUCAGCUGUCUGUUGGGAAGGCCAUGGAUCCAUUCCAUCGGCGCUAUACCUUCCUCAUUGCAUCAAAAGGUGAAGUUUAUCGCGAGGGGCAAGUUGAUAACCAUCAUGGGUGAAGAAGACAUUCUGGUGUCUCAGCUUAGUGAUACCCCAUACAUAGAAGCUGACACUGAAGCUUUGGAGUCUUCUUUCCGGGCGUUAGAGAUUGCGAGUGCUUCUUCUAAUAGGAGAGGAUAUCUUAAGCUCAAUCCUCCACCCUCUAAUGUCUCCAUUAACAUGGCCAGGGUCAUGCUAAAGAAAGGAUUCCAGCCAGGAAAAGGUUUAGGGAGAUACGGUCAGGGAAUUGAAAACACCAUAACCCUCCCAAUUAAUAAUGGUCGAUAUGGAUUGGGCUAUAAACCCAGCAAAGCUGAUGAGGACCAACUGGCAGAGUAACUUGCAGAGGAAAAGAAGAGGAGUACUACUCGUCCGGGGCGUUAUAGAAAUGAUAGCAGAAGGAUUCCCAUCCCCCAGAUCAGCCAGAGUUUUGUGAGUGCAGGCUUCAUAGAACAAAAAUUGAUUGCAAUGAUGAGUGAAGACCAGCUAGAUGAUGAUUUCAGUCAGGUGUACCAGUGCGCUCCAGGCAUGAUCUUGGACAAUUGGACCAAAAAGGAUGUUGCUAGCUGUAUUUAUGGGCCAAUGUAAUUGAAAAUGUUUUAACAUUUCUAAACUUGUUUGGUCACCAUUUGCCAAGCCCUGGGCAUUUGGAUCUUGUGUUAAUAAGGGCAUGAUUUUACUUUCAUCAGUGUGAUUCCUAAUAAAACAAACCAUCACAUUUCAUUCCAUUUCUUGAACAAUUUUAUAUUGCACUUUCUGCCUAAACAAAUCAAUAAAUUAACUUGAUAUAAACCAAUAAACCAUAAUGCAGAUCUGACAUCGAAUCUAUAUCUAAUGACAUCAUUAAUAAUCACUUGCCAAAUUUUGAUCACCCAAUAAAUCAAGCAGAGGAAGGUGACAGUGACGAAGACUACAAAGCGUCACCGGAAUUGCUGAGAUUAGUCAAACAAGAAGGCCAAGAAAUUCAACCUCAUGGGGAACCCGUCGAGUUGGUGAAUCUGGGUUCAGAGGAAGAAAAGAAGGAGGUUCGGGUAGGCACAAUCAUGGAUAGAACUGAGCAAGGAAAACUCAUCGCGCUUCUACAUGAAUACAAGGAUGUAUUCGCUUGGUCAUAUGAGGAGAUGCCAGGUCUAGAUCGAAAUUUAGUGGAACACAAACUACCACUAAAGGAAGACUCUAAACCGGUAAAACAAAAACUACGAAGGAUGAGGCCAGACGUAUCCUUAAGAGUCAAAGAGGAAUGGUUGGAAGCCAAGUUCGUGACAGUCUCUACAUACCCCGAAUGGGUGGCCAACAUAGUUGCAGUGCCAAAGAAAGGAGGGAAACUCCGGAUAUGUGUUGACUAUAGAGACCUUAAUCGGGCCAGUCCAAAGGAUGACUUUCUUGUGCCACACAUCGAUGUUCUAGUCGAUAGUACAGUCGAUCAUGCUUUAUUCUCAUUCAUGGAUGGAUACUCCAGGUACCACCAGAUUAAGAUAGCUUCGGAGGACAUAGAUAAAACAACCUUCAUUACCCCAUGGGGUACCUUCCGCUAUCUCGUGAUGCCAUUCGGGUUAAAAAAUGCUAUGGCCACCUAUCAAAGGGCCAUGAUCGCCAUUUUUCAUGAUAUGAUGCACAAGGAGAUCGAGGUCUAUGUCGGCGAUAUCAUUUGCAAAUCCAAAUCGAAAGAAGAGCAUGUCCCCAAUCUGCGAAAGCUCUUUGAGAGGUUACGAAAGUAUCAGCUCAAGUUGAACCCAGCUAAAUGCAGCUUUGGAGUGAAAUCUGGCAAAGUCCUGGGCUUCAUUGUUAGUCAGAAAGGCAUAGAGGUUGAUCCUGAAAAAAUCAGAGCCAUCGCCGAGAUGCCAGCCCAAUGCCAACCCCUAAGACGGAGAAAGAAGUCAGAGGGUUCUUGGGUCGGCUGAACUACAUCUCCCGGUUCAUAUCUCAACUAACUACAACUUGUGAACCCAUAUUCAAGCUAUUGAGGAAGAAUCAAGUAGUGAAAUGGAAUGAUGAUUGCCAAACAGUGUUCGACAAAAUCAAGCAAUACUUGACAGAACCGCCGAUAUUGACGCCCCCAGUCCCAGGCCGACCCCUAAUCAUGUAUCUAACAGUGCUGGACGAGUCCAUGGGUUGUAUUCUAGGACAACAUGAUGAGUUAGGGAAGAAAGAGCAUAUCAUUUAUUACCUGAGCAAGAAAUUCAAUGAUUGUGAGAAGAGGUAUUCUCUGUUGGAGCGCACUUGUUGUGCCUUAGCUUGGGCUGCACGUCGUCUCAGGCAAUACAUGUUGAGCCACACUACAUGGUUGGUAUCUAAAAUGGAUCCGAUUAAGUACAUAUUUGAGAAGCCUAUUAUGACGGAGAGUAUUGCUAGAUGGCAAGUGCUAUUAUCCGAGUAUGAUAUUGUGUAUGUCACCCAGAAGGCAAUAAAAGGAAGUGUCCUUGCCGAUUAUCUCGCCAGCCAACCUAUAAACAAAGGGGAUUUGAUUAAUGGGGAAUUCCCCGAUGAAGGGAUUAUGAUGAUAUCUCCAGGCACUGAAAUAGAAGGAGAUAGAUGGACUCUGGUGUUCGAUGGGGCUUCCAAUAUACUCGGACACGGAAUAGGGGCAGUAUUGAUCUCCCCAGAGAAUAAGUUCAUCCCGAUUACGGCUCGGCUAUGCUUUGACUGCACCAACAACAUCGCGGAGUAUGAGGCAUGUGUCUUGGGUUUGGAGGCGGCCUUGGAGUCAAGAAUUAAAUCCAUAGAAGUAUGGAGACUCCGCUCUAGUGAUUCAUCAUGUAAAAGGAGAAUGAGAGACCAGAGAUUCUAAGUUGAUACCAUAUAGAGAUCAUGUCCAAAAGUUGAUCCAUCGAUUCGAGGAAAUAGACUUCUACCAUAUCCCAAGGGAAGAUAAUCGGUUGGCUGAUGCCUUGGCAACUUUAUCCUCCAUGUUCCAGAUAGGUGAAAAGGAAAUGCCCGUUAUCAGGAUAGCAAGCAAAGAUCAGCCGACAUACUAUUGUGAAAUCGAAUCCGAGCCUGAUGGAAAGCCUUGGUAUCAUGACAUAAUGACAUACCUCAAGAGCAAAGAGUAUCCUCCCGAGGCCACAGAAAAUGAUAAAAGGACUCUACGAAGGUUAGCUAUGGGCUUCUUUCUAAACGAAAACGUGUUGUACAAAAGAAACCAUGACAUGAUGCUACUGAGGUGUGUGGAAGCCAAGGAAGCAGAGAAGAUCAUCCAGGAAAUACAUGAAGGAAUGUUUGGGACCCAUACGAAUGGGCACUCAAUGGCUCGGAAAAUCCUGAGAGCAGGCUAUUUUUGGUUAACGAUGGAAAGUGAUUGUUGCGAUCAUGUACGAAAAUGUCACAAAUGCUAGAUUUAUGCUGAUAAUAUUAAUGCACCUCCCAGCCCGUUAAAUAUUUUGUCUGCCCCAUGGCCGUUUUCUAUGUGGGGGAUGGACGUUAUCGGUCCGAUCGAACCAAAUGCUUCCAAUGGUCAUCGCUUCAUCUUGGUUGCAAUCGAAUAUUUCACCAAGUGAGUCGAGGCAAACUCAUACGCAAGCGUGACUCGUAAGGUAGUACUCAAGUUUAUAAAAAAGGAAUUGAUUUGCCGCUAUGGUUUGCCUCAUAAAAUUAUCACAGAUAAUGCUACCAAUCUCAACAACAAGAUGAUGACGGAGAUGUGUGAGGAAUUCAAAAUCAAACAUCACACUUCUUCGCCUUACAGACCUAAGAUGAACGGGGCAGUGGAGGCAGCAAAUAAAAAUAUAAAGAAGAUAGUCCAGAAAAUGGUGGUGACCUACAGAGAUUGGCACGAUAUGUUACCAUUUGCACUUCAUGGUUAUCGGACUUCCGUCCGCACAUCAACUGGGGCAACACCCUACUCGCUGGUUUAUGGGAUGGAAGCAGUGCUGCCGAUAGAAGUCGAAAUCCCGUCACUAAGAGUGCUCGCUGAAGCCGGAUUAGAAGAGGCAGAAUGGGUCCAAGCCCGACAUGAUCAGUUGAAUCUUAUUGAAGGGAAGAGGUUGGCAGCCAUAUGUCAUGGUCAAUUAUACCAGAGGAGGAUCAUGAGAGCACAUGCUAAGAAGCUACGCCCUCGAACAUUCAGGGAAGGUGAUCUAGUACUCAAGAAGAUUUUACCUAUUCAGAAGGAUCACCGGGGAAAGUGGACACCCAAUUACGAAGGCCCAUAUGUGGUAAAGAAAGCCUUCUCAGGAGGAGCUCUCAUUUUGACCAACAUGGACAGAGAAGACCUUCGUCUCUCUGUAAACUCUGAUGCAGUGAAGAAAUACUAUGCUUGAGACGACUUCCUAAGAAAAAGAAAAAACCAAAAAAAAAAGGAAAAAAAGAAUAAAGAAAAAGAAACUCGAUUUCUUAGGAAUAUUAAUGUAAUGAACACGAUCAUUAUUUACAAAAUUGCAUACAUGUUUUNNNNNNNNNNNNNNNNNNNNNNNNNNNNNNNNNNNNNNNNNNNNNNNNNNNNNNNNNNNNNNNNNNNNNNNNNNNNNNNNNNNNNNNNNNNNNNNNNNNNGUAGUUUUUCCAAUAUUUCCUAUAAUUCAAAAGAACAAUGCUUCAAAUCAAGUAGUGAGAAUCUAGAAAUCUCAAAGUAGAAGAAAAAUGAGAAAGGUCCGCUAAGAUACUCAAGAGAUCUUAGGCAAAAAUUAGGACAAAAACACAUCAGAUCCUCAAUUGUCAAUACUAAAAUGAAGCAAUAAAAUCAUGAGAGGAAUCAUUGGAAAUAGGAUAUCGGAGAAAAGGAGAUGUAGUGGGAAGGGAAACACAAUUUGAGCCUUAGUAUCCAUUUUCUGGUAAGCCAUUUAACCAGGCCACAAUUCAAGCCAAAAAAGUCCUUGUUGAGGAAUAAUUUGUUUGGAACCAUGCUAGGGUAAAAAGCAAACUGACUCCAAAAGGAAACGUUUUAAAUGCACUCAUUUUUAAACUAACACUCGCACAAAGUGAUCAUUACGUUAAUAUUUCUAACAAAUAAAAAGAAAAGAACAUCCUGGUAGGUCGAAAACCUGAAAGGGCGGCCAAGGCAAAAGUUAGGGAUUAUCAUUAAAGAAAGUCGUUCUCAAUCGGAAGAAUGAUCACUCAGGAAGACAUCAAAGUAAGAUACUGGGGGCAGGUUCAUUGGAUGAGUAGGCUCACCCUGAUGAAUCCGUAGCAAAAGUCAUGAAGCAGAUUAUGGGGUGCUUCAGAAGAUUCAGGUUGAGAAGCAAACAAUGGGGGCAAUUUAUUGAAUGAUCAGUCCCAUCCAAUAAAUUCAUGAGCAAGACACAAUAGCCAAUCUGUUGAACAAUNNNNNNNNNNNNNNNNNNNNNNNNNNNNNNNNNNNNNNNNNNNNNNNNNNNNNNNNNNNNNNNNNNNNNNNNNNNNNNNNNNNNNNNNNNNNNNNNNNNNAAAAAAAACUCCUUCAAAUCUAUACCUCCACAUGUUAAUAUCAAUAUAAAGUCAUACCUUGUUCAUUAUUUCUCAUAUAUUAAUGCAUGAGUUGUUUUUGUGAAAAUACACUGAUGAAUAAUAAUAUGACCUUUUGUGAUGAUUAAUCAGAACAAAUAACCGAGCAGCAUGGCCAUCCGUAAAGAAGGGCUGAAAUCAUGUCAAUAUAAAGCUUUAUUACUAGAGCUUCCACACUCAAUGAAAUUGGAACUUCGGAUUGUAAGGAUGCUCAAAAUCAAAUUCAAUGAUAACGGACCUGUAAAAUGAAAACAAUCAAGAUUUUGUCAAUAAACGAUACAAACACUGCAAGCAAAAAACCACAUAUUGUGUAUUGCAUAUUCACAAACUAAAAAAACAUCUCAUUCAUAUCAUGCACCCAUUCAUGAAAUUCGUUGCAAAAAAAUCAUUUUUAGACCUCCAGGGGUAGAAAGUAAGCUAGCUUAAGCCAAAGCAUUUAUCUUUAUUGUCUCGAGUUCCGGCAGUACCCGACCUGCGUUCUCGCAUUAACUUGUAUUGUCCCGAGUUCCGGCAGUACCCGACCUGCGUUCUCGCAUUUACUUUUAUUGUCCCGAGUUCCGGCAGUACCCAACCUGCGUUUUCGCAUUUACUUUUAUUGUCCCGAGUUCCGGCAGUACCCGACCUGCGUUCUCGCAUUUACUUUUAUUGUCCCGAGUUCCGGCAGUACUCGACCUGCGUUCUCACAUUUACUUUGAUUGUCUCGAGUUCCGGCAGUACCCGACCUGCGUUCUCGCAUUUACUUUCAUAUUCUCGAGUUCCGGCAGUACCCGACCUGCGUUCUCGCAUUUAUUUUUAGUAGUUCGAGUCCCAGCAGCACCCGACUUGCGUUCUCGUUUAAAAAUUUUAUUUUCUCGAGUUCCAGCAACACCCAACUUGCAUUUUCACAUUUAUUAUUGUCAUUUCAUGACCCAUUAAUAAGCACCACACUUUCUAUCUCAUUGUGUCAUGAUCGAUGCUUUCGCCUAUUUGUAACAAAAUUUGCGUUCACUUCUUUACUAAUUGCUUACAAAGAUAACACUCAAACAUCAAUUUAGUUGCUAUCUAGUAAGCAAUAAGUAAAGAGGGGCAGUUGUGAACACCCAAAUUUGUCUUACAUUUACUUUUUAUUUUUAGCAUAAAAAAAUAAAACACCAUUUCUAUAUCCACCAGAUCAUUGGGAUAAUCAAGUUGCAGAUCAAUUAUGUCUUCUAAAGUAAUUUACAUACAACCAGUACCCUCACAGUGGUUAUCCACUCUAGGAUGAUUAGUACAUUCAUAAGUCUAACAAAACAAGGAACCUAAGCCACUUCGAUAUAGUGCAUUGACGCAUAUCGCUAUGGCUAUUAAACAAUUCCAGCGCCUGAUUCUCGCAGCUAAAAAAAAGGAUGGCAAUAAUAUUGUUUAUAUCAAAAAAGAGGCCACAUUAAAAUGCUAAAACAUGGACAAGAGUUCCCAUCCCAUACUAGGUUACAUUUUCUAAAUAUUGCUCUAUGAGCAAGAAUAAAUAAUACUAAGAAACUUCAAAAGGUUCAACGCAUGAAUAUUACAUCAUUUUGUUCUUUUCCUCCCAUAAGGCUACAAAUGCAAACUUAAGGUUGAAGGAAACCGCAUCCAGAUCUAACGAAGGGGGGUCACUUCAGCCUCGCAACCAUAAGCGAAUCACGAACAAUUGAUCAAUACUGGACGUCCAAGUUAUCUUCUAUGGCCAACUUCCAACUGCAAAAAAAGGGGGGGGGGAAGAAAAGCAUAUGCACAAAACAAUAGAACAACACUAACAUGCUCAAAGCAAUUAAAUUAUGUUGAGGAUGAAACAAAUACACAAUCUGAUCCAGCUAUCCAAUAAUUCCAAAUACGGUUAAGGGUCGUAAGUGCAUACCUACAGCAAGCACUUAUAACUUUGUUAUCUUUAUGCUGAUACAGGAAUGAGGAGGAUCACCUGAAUAAACUCACUGCUCCAGAGAGGGAGAGGAGACUGAUAGAAGAUUAUACAUAUCAGUAAUAAACAAGAGAGGACCACACAUUCCCAUAUACACAACAAGCAACACAUUCAUCCUCCUAUCAACAAGCAGUAGGUAUAACUCGAAUUCGACAAUUCCAG